UUAAAUUGAAGAGUUUGAUCAUGGCUCAGAUUGAACGCUGGCGGCAGGCCUAACACAUGCAAGUCGAACGGUAACAGGAAGCAGCUUGCUGCUUUGCUGACGAGUGGCGGACGGGUGAGUAAUGUCUGGGAAACUGCCUGAUGGAGGGGGAUAACUACUGGAAACGGUGGCUAAUACCGCAUAACGUCGCAAGACCAAAGAGGGGGACCUUCGGGCCUCUUGCCAUCAGAUGUGCCCAGAUGGGAUUAGCUUGUUGGUGAGGUAACGGCUCACCAAGGCGACGAUCCCUAGCUGGUCUGAGAGGAUGACCAGCCACACUGGAACUGAGACACGGCCCAGACUCCUACGGGAGGCAGCAGUGGGGAAUAUUGCACAAUGGGCGCAAGCCUGAUGCAGCCAUGCCGCGUGUAUGAAGAAGGCCUUCGGGUUGUAAAGUACUUUCAGCGGGGAGGAAGGUGUUGUGGUUAAUAACCGCAGCAAUUGACGUUACCCGCAGAAGAAGCACCGGCUAACUCCGUGCCAGCAGCCGCGGUAAUACGGAGGGUGCAAGCGUUAAUCGGAAUUACUGGGCGUAAAGCGCACGCAGGCGGUCUGUCAAGUCGGAUGUGAAAUCCCCGGGCUCAACCUGGGAACUGCAUUCGAAACUGGCAGGCUUGAGUCUUGUAGAGGGGGGUAGAAUUCCAGGUGUAGCGGUGAAAUGCGUAGAGAUCUGGAGGAAUACCGGUGGCGAAGGCGGCCCCCUGGACAAAGACUGACGCUCAGGUGCGAAAGCGUGGGGAGCAAACAGGAUUAGAUACCCUGGUAGUCCACGCCGUAAACGAUGUCUACUUGGAGGUUGUGCCCUUGAGGCGUGGCUUCCGGAGCUAACGCGUUAAGUAGACCGCCUGGGGAGUACGGCCGCAAGGUUAAAACUCAAAUGAAUUGACGGGGGCCCGCACAAGCGGUGGAGCAUGUGGUUUAAUUCGAUGCAACGCGAAGAACCUUACCUGGUCUUGACAUCCACAGAAGAAUCCAGAGAUGGAUUUGUGCCUUCGGGAACUGUGAGACAGGUGCUGCAUGGCUGUCGUCAGCUCGUGUUGUGAAAUGUUGGGUUAAGUCCCGCAACGAGCGCAACCCUUAUCCUUUGUUGCCAGCGGUUAGGCCGGGAACUCAAAGGAGACUGCCAGUGAUAAACUGGAGGAAGGUGGGGAUGACGUCAAGUCAUCAUGGCCCUUACGACCAGGGCUACACACGUGCUACAAUGGCGCAUACAAAGAGAAGCGACCUCGCGAGAGCAAGCGGACCUCAUAAAGUGCGUCGUAGUCCGGAUUGGAGUCUGCAACUCGACUCCAUGAAGUCGGAAUCGCUAGUAAUCGUGGAUCAGAAUGCCACGGUGAAUACGUUCCCGGGCCUUGUACACACCGCCCGUCACACCAUGGGAGUGGGUUGCAAAAGAAGUAGGUAGCUUAACCUUCGGGAGGGCGCUUACCACUUUGUGAUUCAUGACUGGGGUGAAGUCGUAACAAGGUAACCGUAGGGGAACCUGCGGUUGGAUCACCUCCUUACCUUAAAGAAGC
rnacentral:rRNA from 155 species